ACGCUCGACACCUACGGGAGGCCGCAGUGGGGAAUAUUGGGCAAUGGAGGCAACUCUGACCCAGCAACGCCGCGUGAAUGAUGAAGGUCUUCGGAUUGUAAAGUUCUGUGACGGGGGACGAACACAAUGACGGUACCCCGAUAGCAAGCCACGGCUAACUACGUGCCAGCAGCCGCGGUAAUCUGAGCGGGCUGGCAAGGC
rnacentral:rRNA from 1 species